rnacentral:lncRNA from 10 species
GUUCACCACUUUGUGUGUCCAAGGACCACCUACUUUUUACAUGUGACAAGAACUACCCACCUCCACUCUUCAGGAUAGAACAUGCUGAAGAAAAGAGUUGCAAUGAGAAAAUAUAUGGGAACAAAAUACCUAUGCAAUGCAGAAGUCUGCAUAACUGAACCACUCAGAGGAAAAAGAAUCAAUGAGACAAUAAUUAUAAGACACGAGCAUACAAUAAGCCAAUUCUUGAGAAGUGGAUUUUAUUCUUCUUCAGUCAAUAUGGAAUCAGGAUGAUUGACAGUGUAUUGAAAUUUCAUUUUUAUGACACUUUUAAAACUGUCAUUUCUGGAAUAGUAGAGUUAAAGAUCUGCAAUAAAAUAAAAAACUACUGUUUACAGCAAUCAGAGAAGUA